rnacentral:rRNA from 1 species
CCUACGGGUGGCUGCAGUGGGGAAUAUUGGACAAUGGGGGGAACCCUGAUCCAGCCAUGCCGCGUGUGUGAAGAAGGCCCUCGGGUUGUAAAGCACUUUCAGUGAGGAAGAACGCCUGGUGGUUAAUACCCAUCAGGAAAGACAUCACUCACAGAAGAGGCACCGGCUAACUCCGUGCCAGCAGCCGCGGUAAUACGGAGGGUGCGAGCGUUAAUCGGAAUUACUGGGCGUAAAGCGCGCGUAGGUGGCUUGAUAAGCCGGUUGUGAAAGCCCCGGGCUCAACCUGGGAACGGCAUCCGGAACUGUCAAGCUAGAGUGCAGGAGAGGAAGGUAGAAUUCCCGGUGUAGCGGUGAAAUGCGUAGAGAUCAGGAGGAAUACCAGUGGCGAAGGCGGCCUUCUGGACUGACACUGACACUGAGGUGCGAAAGCGUGGGUAGCAAACAGGAUUAGAUACCCCGGUAGUC